UCCAAAGCUCAGUUUAAAGGGGGCAACUGG
rnacentral:piRNA from 1 species